GCCCUGCUCAUCCCCACUCAUACGUGCACAUGCCUGCACGCUCCGACCCUGAAGCAGUCGGUGACACAGCACUCGCAUUCUUUUGCACUCUGACAAACACGCGGUGCUCCCCGCGCUCCCUCCUCUCCCUCCCGCCGGCCCGCCUCUCGCUCCAACUCCCUCUCCUCUUCCCCACGUUUGCACACGCGCAAAAAGCUUUGCACGGACACACAGCGCGCAGCAAAAGAUGUCCGAUUCGGAGAGCUCAGCCGCUGCCCCGACCGAGACCCCGGUCCCUGCUGCCUGUCAGGCCAUCAAGGCAGAUCUGGAUAAAUGCAUAAAGGAGAAUGGGGAGGAAGCAUGCAAAGAGCUGAUGGAGGCCUUCCAGGCCUGUCUGAAGACUGCGGGUGAAGCAUCCUGACGAGGAAGGACACCACCUUGGAGAUGUCCUCUGCUCCCUCAGCAUUCCCUUCUGCACACUGCACUGCACUGGAAUAAAUCACUUUUGGGACUGGGAAAGUGGGACCUACAGAGGCAUGAGGAAAUGCCCCAUAUGAAAAAUUAAAUGCAGUCUACCUAUCCCUAUAUAGCUGAUUAUACUGGUUUAACACAAUGCCAGAAAAACCAUAGGUUUUAAAUGUGAAUUGUCUAUUUAAGAAGGCAUAUAAAAUGCUGAAAUAAAGAAU